rnacentral:misc_RNA from 1 species
GAUGAAGAACGCAGCGAAAUGCGAUAAGUAAUGUGAAUUGCAGAAUUCAGUGAAUCAUCGAAUCUUUGAACGCACAUUGCGCCCGCCAGUAUUCUGGCGGGCAUGCCUGUUCGAGCGUCAUUACAACCCUCAGGCCCCCGGGCCUGGCGUUGGGGAUCGGCGGAAGCCCCCUGCGGGCACAACGCCGUCCCCCAAAUACAGUGGCGGUCCCGCCGCAGCUUCCAUUGCGUAGUAGCUAACACCUCGCAACUGGAGAGCGGCGCGGCCACGCCGUAAAACACCCAACUUCUGAAUGUUGACCUCGAAGCAGGUAGGAAUACCCGCUGAACUUAAGCAUAUUAAUAAGCGGAGGA